rnacentral:lncRNA from 13 species
CCACCCAUUCCUCCAACCACCCAUCCACCCACUCUCAAUCCAUCCAUCAAUCAAGCACCCUCUAUGAUCAGGUGUUAAUCUGGGUGUGCACACAGUAGUAAACUCUUGGGCUUUGAGGUUUGUGAAGGUGCAGAUAUUACACACGUAAGUUCACACAGAGAGGUCACAAUAGCGAUAAACAUUGUGAAAGAAACUGUAGGGCAUUAUGAAGUCACCAUAUAAAAUCUAGAGAGAAUCAGAGACCGGGUUAAGGUUGCUCUGGGGUGAACAGGCAAGUGAUAUCAAAGCUGGGCCCUGGAGAGCAGGAGGCAGAGUGCCCCAGGCAGAAGAAACAGCGAGGGAUGCCCUGUGGCCGAGAAGGUUAACAUUCUUAAGGAACUGAAAGAAGGCACCUCUGCCGAAGGCCAGGACACAGUGACGUGUGAAGGAAGCCUCUGGAUGUGCUGGGGUGGAUCAGAAGAUAGAAGCCACCAGCUUCGAGGAGGGACAGAAGAAAGCGGUGUCUGGCUCCAGUGGCAGGCUUGCUGCACCUCCUGGGUCAUACCAAGGGCUUCAUGCCGCAGGUUGUAUAGGCCGAAUCUCAAGGAACGAGCGCUGUGUUGCAAAAUCCUCGCCAGGAGUCAGAAAACUGAACGCAGCGUUCAUUAUUCGAGGGAUGGCCACCACUGGCUGAAUUGCCGGGACCUUUCCAGCAGUCUCCUCUGCGGCUCUCAGCCAGUGUCAGAGUAG